CCUACGGGAGGCAGCAGUGAGGAAUCUUGGUCAAUGGGCGAGAUCCUGCACCAGCCAAGUCGCGUGAGGGAGUACUGCCCUAUGGGUUGUAAACCUCUUUUUUCGGGGAGCACAAGCCGGACGUGUCCGGCUGUGAGAGUACCCUAAGAAAAAGCAUCGGCUAACUCCGUGCCAGCAGCCGCGGUAAUACGGGGGAUGCGAGCGUUAUCCGGAUUUAUUUGGUUUAAAGGGAGCGCAGGCGGAUUUUUAAGUCAGCGGUCAAAUCGGGUGGAUCAACACCAUCCAGCCGUUGAAACUGGGGAUCUAGAGUGUGCGAGAGGUAUGGGGAAUGCGUGGUGUAGCGGUGAAAUGCAUAG
rnacentral:rRNA from 1 species